UGCAAGUCGAACGGCAGCGGGGGUGCUUGCACCUGCCGGCGAGUGGCGAACGGGUGAGUAAUGCAUCGGAACGUACCCAGUCGUGGGGGAUAACGCAGCGAAAGCUGUGCUAAUACCGCAUACGUCCUGAGGGAGAAAGCAGGGGAUCUUAGGACCUUGUGCGAUUGGAGCGGCCGAUGUCAGAUUAGCUAGUUGGUGAGGUAAAGGCUCACCAAGGCGACGAUCUGUAGCUGGUCUGAGAGGAUGAUCAGCCACACUGGAACUGAGACACGGUCCAGACUCCUACGGGAGGCAGCAGUGGGGAAUUUUGGACAAUGGGGGCAACCCUGAUCCAGCCAUGCCGCGUGAGUGAAGAAGGCCUUCGGGUUGUAAAGCUCUUUCGGCCGGGAAGAAAUCGCCAUCUCUAACAUAGGUGGUGGAUGACGGUACCGGAAUAAGAAGCACCGGCUAACUACGUGCCAGCAGCCGCGGUAAUACGUAGGGUGCGAGCGUUAAUCGGAAUUACUGGGCGUAAAGCGUGCGCAGGCGGUUUUGUAAGACAGGCGUGAAAUCCCCGGGCUCAACCUGGGAACUGCGCUUGUGACUGCAAGACUAGAGUACGGCAGAGGGGGGUGGAAUUCC
rnacentral:rRNA from 1 species